CCUUGGGUGGUGUAAACAGUUAACACUUUCAGCUGCUAACUGAAAGGUUGGAGGUUUAAGUCCACCCAGAGGC
rnacentral:tRNA from 1 species